CCGUCAAUUCCUUUGAGUUUUAACCUUGCGGCCGUAGUCCCCAGGCGGUGAACUUAUCGCGUUAGCUUCGGCACUGAUGGUUUUUACACCACCAACGCCAAGUUCACAUCGUUUACUGCUAGGACUACCGGGGUCUCUAAUCCCGUUCGCUCCCCUAGCUUUCGCGUCUGAGCGUCAGAAAUGGUCCAGAAGGCCGCCUUCGCCACUGGUGUUCCUCCCGAUAUCUACGCAUUUCACCACUACACCGGGAAUUCCGCCUUCCUCUACCACUCUCAAGUCCGGUAGUAUUGAACGACCUCUCCUAGUUGAGCCAGGAGCUUUCACAUCCAACUUACCGAACCGCCUGCACGCGCUUUACGCCCAGUAAAUCCGGAUAACGCUUGCCUCCUACGUGUUACCG
rnacentral:misc_RNA from 1 species